CCUCUCCGGGGGCUGGGAUCGGGGGCUGGUGUGGGGGGGUGGGGGCGGGGGCGGGGAGGGUCGGCUGUUGUUGUGUGGGUCCCGCUCUAGCACAAAGUUAAGGAUGAAGGUGAAAAGGAGGAGGUUUGAAGGACUUGGGUUCUCCCUGGCAAGUACAUUGAUCAAAGAUUGAGAGGGGAAUGACAGAGAGAAAAUGAGCUGAAAAGUGCAGGCUGCCGGCUGGACGAGUUGUUGUUGUCACACGGUGCAGAGGGGAGGAGCUCCGGAAACUUGAAAUACCCUUUGAAGCCGCAAAAACCUCACUCACUAGUAUUAACCCAAAUUAUCCAACCAGGAACUCGGAGCAGAGACUCCGAGAGCGCGAGACCCAGGGAAAGCGAGUGAACAAGAAAAGGAGGAGGGGAGGGGGAGGAUAAGGAAAGAAACUAAGGGAGGGACGGAGAGGAAAAGCCGGGGCACGCAAGUGGCGAUCGGAAAAGCGGAGGGAGAUCUUCUCUUCUACUACCGCUAGAUUCUCGGUCUUAAUACUCCACUUUGUCCUCGAAGACCGGUAAUUUUUUCCCAAAACCUUCAAACCAAUCGGCUGCCAACUUAAAGGGAGCCAGAGCGCUCCGAGCUCUCCUUCAAGGAUUUAGGAUGUGUCUCCGCUCGCUUUUGCAAUGAGAUAUAAAUGAAAAGACAUACUCUCACUUCAUGAUUAGUAAGAAAUUAUUUUGAGGAAAAUCCAUAUGGAAGCAAAGCGUAUGUUUCAUGCGUCUGGUUAUUUUCUCUGUCGAUUCAAUUAUUUAUUUAAAGAUAGUGAAAACGCCAGGAGAGUUUUCAAGUUGUGGGGGAAAAGUCAGUCUGAAAUCGCUUAAGAAUAAUGGAGUGCUCUCUAUUCAAUUCCUUAUUUCCUAAUUGUGGAAAGAAAGAAAUGCUUGCCAUGAUGUGGAUGAUUCGGAAUAACUUCAUUUUUGCCCCAAAGCCAGGUCAGAAAUGUCUAUUAUACUGGGAGAAUUCGAGAUCAGGCACCCUCGAAGGUUUAGAAAGUGGGGAGGGGAAAAAAGAACAUCCUAAUUUUUUCUUCCCUAACUCCAUAACUAAUUCACCUGUCUUGCACAGACACCAACAAUCCUCAAGUCCUUUAAGACCCAAGGCUAGUUGCUAAUGUGAUAUGUGAAUAACAAUACAUAGAUGUAUAUAUUGUAUUUGAAAAGUAACAGUGUAUUCUGGGAAGGUCCUUCUCAGUUUGUCAGUAAAAAAUAUGUUUUGUAAAUAAUGAAAAGAACACAAACAAAGCUCACUAGUUCACUUGUAAAGGCAGAACGGAUAGCUAUGCUUAAAAACCUCAUGAAGCUGGGUUGAGACUCACUCUCUUCCUCUUUGCCUUUCUCUCUCCUUUUCUUCCCCUUUCUAACUUGUUGCAUGAAGGUACUAUUUAUUCAAGGAUUUUUGACCAUAGGUCAAGUCUGUUCUCUGUUUGUAUCUCUAGGAUUCUUAAAUAAUUGGGCUUUAAACCUGUCUGCACAUAUUCAUCAACUCCACAAGAUAGAAACAAUGCUUUAGCAUUUGACAGAUUUUAAAAAUAAAUUAUUAGGACCAGGAUCACAGUGUAGUGUUGAAAUUAUUCUCACAUUUCUUUUUAUCAUUUUUAUCCUUUAACCUUUUUGAAGUUGAGUGCCAAAAGUUGCAGGAAGUAUUUAUAGAGAAAUAUGGCACUAUUGACUAAUUUGUCUAAGUUUAUACUAAACUUUUGGGGGCAUAGAAGUUAUAUCAGGAAGCUUUCCUGGGUCAGAAGAACUCAGAAAAUUGAUUGUUACCAAAAAGUAGAUUAACUUCUGCAAAGAUAGCUAAAGUUUAUGCAGCUGUUUUACCUAGUUAGCCAAUGUAUUUUAACAUAUCCAGAAAUAAUGUAUAUUCAUUUUCACUCCUCUUAUCUGACUUCAGUUAAAAAUAAGGACUGGAUAUACAUCACAUACAUCAGAACACUUCUUUAAAUGUUUAUGUCUGUAUUGGACGAUAUCGCCUUUUUUAAAAAAUGUCAACCUGCUAUGUUAAAGAGUGGAGGUGAGGAGAAGAUAUUAAGCCCUAAGAAACUGAUUUUAUUUUCGAAUUGCAUGUAGAACUUUAAUAAACUCUGCUGUGGUUUUAAAAAUGUUAAACUAACUUCUUCAUAAAUUCUACCCACAAAUGAAAAAAAAAGGGGGGGGAUUCAAUGUCUUAAAUCGACCCUUAGCAUUCUCAUUCUUCAUAUUUCCUUUAACUGUCACUCAUCCCAUACCUGCCACAUUCAGAAGCCAGGGACAGGAAGUAAUGAUAGCAGACCAAACCAUUAUCCCACCUAGCUUCAAAGCAAACUCCAAAUUUUCUGCAGGGAAGCCUGCCCUUUCAGCACUUGCUCCUUUCAAAAGCAGGGCUUGGGGCAUUCCCCCUACACACACCUAAAUGGGAGCUUCCUCCCCCUCCCCCUCCAUCUCACAUCCCUAAACAUUUUUUUUUUUUUUAGAAACUACUCACCUCUUUGAUCAAACAAUAGGAUUAGAAAAAAUAUAUAAUGCAAAUUAAAAUCUAUAGGAAAGAAAAACCUGGAAAAUUUUAAAAUUUCUUUUCUCUCCUUUUUUUUUUUUUUCAAGAAAGAUUACCAAUGAUUAAGGCAAACAGUAUUUAACAGCAGAUAAAGAACAGCACAGAUUUCAAAUUCCCACUCUUUCCAUCACAUCAUUUGCUUUCAAAGCUUUUGUCUUGUUUGUUUAUUGUUUUACAUCUCUGGUAGUUUCAGGUCCUCUCCUUCCAGCUCCUCUUCUCCAACCUGCACUCAAUUUGCAUAAGCAAAACUCAAAGUACUGUAACUGAUAUUAGAAAAUUCUCCCUGUGUGUUGUGAAGAUGUAUUGUGCUGAAAUCAAUAAGACUGUUUAAAAUUCAAAGACCUGCAAAUCGUUCUGUUUGUCCUUUGAUAGGGCCUGUGCUGAUUAAAAUGCUACCAAGAAAGCUUAAUUGCUGCACUAAUUAAGAAGUCUUUAAUUUCUUUCCUAGGAUAUCGUUUGAAGCUGAGCUUGUACCAGUUCAGGGAAGGUAUUUUCUUCCCUCCCUCUGCCCCCUCCUGGCCCCUCCCUUCCCCUUCCUCCUCCUGCCGUGCCCCCACGAUAUCCCUGUGAAUGGGAACUAAUAGAGAGAGUGGUCUCAGGGCUCACCAUCUAUUACUUAACAAAAAUCGGCACAGGAGACAGAGUUCAAUGCAGUAUGAAACGCAGUUUUGAGAAGAGCUGUAAGGUUUCAGGAGACAGUGAGAAAAUACAGAGUAGCUGUUGCAGCUAAAGUCCCGGUGAAUACCUGGAUGACAACAGGCGCUUUAGCCUGAAGAUGAGGGCAUCCUAUUUGGUUAAGAGGGGCAGUGACAAGGAAAUGCUUCUAUGGAAACAGGGGAACAUAACAAUAUACUUUCAAAACCUGUGGUUUUAAAAAAGAAGAAUAAAUCUGUAGAAAGGUGGACUUAGAAUUGGGAGUUGGUAAGUAUCGUUUUAUUUUAUGAGUUUAAAAACAUGAAUUCUAUGGGGAUUCAUUUUUGACCCUUUUUAUAACCCAGGGAGGCAGAGCACUGUAUUACAUCCAUCCAUCCUUAUCUAUUGACCUAUUUUAUUCACUGAUUUCUCAAGUGGGGAAACUGACUAAAGGAUUUCACAAAGCUUUCUCUGUAAUCAAUAGUCAUUUUUAAGGUUUAUUCAUGCUGCAUUAUAAUUCUGGUAAAUGACUGUGAAGCAGAAGAUUGUAAGAAAGAUACAAAUAUUGACAAAGCCAGGAUAAGUCAUGUCUUUAAAUCUUUAGUGUUUCCAUAUAGCAAUGGAUAUAGUUAAGAUCGAAAAUGUAGAUUUCAUAGAAUAUUUUAAAAAAACUAAAUGAUUAACUUAAAGGCAAUCCUAUCUGAAGGUUUCUUGAAUAUCUCAAAAUUUCCUGAAAGCUUUGAGUAUCCUCUUUUUAUACCAUCACUAAAUGAAACAGAAACAAUUGGGGGGAUAUGCAGAAAGGGCAACAAGAAGAGGUUCCUUGCAAUUUUAUCCUUUUAAUUUAACCUGUCCCCGAGUUCUAUUAGAAGCAUGCACGGAAAAAUACAGAUGUAUACUUCAGAUAUAUUCUGAAUUCUUUUCAGUGACAGGACAAGGAGAUAACAUGCCUAAUAGAUUCAAAGGGAUACUUACCAUUCCGAGCACGACGUCACUCUAAUUAUGUUUACUCUAAUUGAAAGCAAGGUUUUUUGGAAUCUGAAAUUACUUUCAGAAUUUUUUUUUUUAAAUAAUGCAAGUGGAUCAAAUGUUGAUCACAAGCAUUUCAAUCUUUCAAAAUGUAUUGGAAAAUUAAAUGAAAAGUGGAGUUUGGUACAAACAAUGCCCCAGGGCAAAAAACAACUAACACUAGAUUUUCCAGUCCAGCCAUAACACAAAUCAAUUUGAGCACACUUCUAUGGCCAGACUGCCAGAUUGUUAUGACUGCUAAUUCACUCAAUCAAAGAGUGCAUUAGCACACCCGGCACAAAUAGCUUUAACAAUGGGGUGCACUUCUGAACAAUUCUAAGAUAUAUCACAACGGAGAAGUAAAGAGGAAGAUCGUUUUUACAUCUGCAUGUUUACUAAUGGACUUGUUUCCUUAAUAGGAAAAAAAAAAAAAAAAAAAAAAAAAGAAAGACUGAGACACUUCCGGCAGAGGUUGAAGAAAGAGCUGGCCAAGUUUGAGUGAAGCUGCAAAGUGGAGAAGACUUGAAUGGCCUUGUAUCUUCAAAGAAGCUCCUUGAGCUCUGGAAUGCAACCGAGUGGGAGAAACCACUGAACAUCAGGAAAUGUCAACAAUGCAGCAGAAACCCCUGGCAGGUAGCUGUGGUUUUUUUUAACCUCGAUGCCUUCAUCUUCUGGAUUUCCUAUUUUGGAACACCUCAUAAUUUCUCAUGCCAUUAAUAUGCAUCCCAUUUUGUAUGACAUAGAAACUGAAGAUUACAUGAACUUGAGUUUCUGAAAGGUGAACAUGUCGGAAAAUAAAGAGAAAGCUGAUAAUUGCAGUAACUCUGGUUCAUUCAAGACACAAAGUGGAUGCUUGGAUAUACGUUUGAGAACUAUCCUUCUAAAAACUAAAUUACUUCUAAAGGCUAAAUUAAGGCUUCAUUUCUUCGGGGAAACCUUUCAUCAUCUGUGAUUGUCUGAAAAGGAUGGUGUAUAUUUCACAUGUCUCUAAUUUAUUUAGAAAUGCUUCUUUCCAAUACUUACCUCUAAAUACACUGCAGCACUAUUCACAAUAGCUAAGACACGGAAACAACCAAAAUGUCCAUUGACAAAUGAAUGGAUUAAGAAGAUGUGGUACAAAUAACAAGUGCUGGAG